UUUUUUUUUUGUAAACAGCAAAUAGAUGCUUUAGACAGCAAAUUUUAUAUGUAUUUUAAAGGACAUCAAAUUUUAUGGAACGUCUUAUAAUCUAUUGGUUUUCUGUGCUUUGAAGGUAGAAAGUGAUUGGUUCGAUCCUUGGUAAUCGAAAAUAUUAAAACAGUUUUCUAUUUUUAUUUGUUGUAAAUGGACAUCAAAUUUUGUUGAGCUUUAAACAUGAUUAGUCUUUGGACCGACUCUGACCACGAAUGACAAAUUCAAAAAUCAUAAUCAAGUAGGCUAUGUGUCAAGCAACUACAAUUACCCCGCAUGUCAAAGCCUACUUUGAGAUGAAUAUAAACCACAGCAUGAUGAUGAAAACCAUCGCUAUCCACAAGCUUGCGGUGUCUUGAAGGCCGGCCGGAACAUAAAACCCAGCAAAUAGAUGCUUUUUUUUUUUUUUUUGUAAACAGCAAAUAGAUGCUUUAGACAGCAAAUUUUAUAUAUAUUUUAAAAGACAUCAAAUUUUAUGAAACGUCUUAUAAUCUAUUGGUUUUCUGUGCUUUGAAGGUAGAAAGUGAUUGGUUCGAUCCUUGGUAAUCGAAAAUAUUAAAACAAUUUUCUAUUUUUAUUUGUUGUAAAUGGACAUCAAAUUUUGUUGAGCUUUAAACAUGAUUAGUCUUUGGACCGACUCUGACCACGAAUGACAAAUUCAAAAAUCAUAAUCAAGUAGGCUAUGUGUCAAGCAACUACAAUUACCCCGCAUGUCAAAGCCCAUUUCCAUAAACAAGCCGUCACAACAAAAACGCCAACUAUCAAGAUUGCUUCCAAAGCGAUCAAAAGAUUCCUCCAUGCCGAUUGAAAAGUUAUUCUUUCAUCUUAUUUAUCAGAACUGAAAUAUAGAUAUAACCGGUUUGGAUCCUCUAUUUGUACGCUCACAA
rnacentral:sRNA from 1 species